GUGCUUGUUUUGGCAGCGCAUAUAUGAAGAUUGGAACGAUAUAGAGAAGAUGAUCGUGGCCCCUAUGCAAGGAUGACAUGCAAAUGCGUGAAGUGUUCCAUAUUUAA